UCGCUAACCCUUUCCAGGCCCCGCCCCCAUUCUAGACCGCAUCCUACAUGCUGUUCCCUACCAGUGCCUUCUAAACCCCGCCCCUCUAGGCCAUCUUCUGCCACAGAGGAAACCUGGUGUCUUCUGUUCUCCUGGACCUCGCUGCUUUUAUACGAUUCUCCUUCCUCAUCUUGCCUUUUCAUUAAACAAGGAGCCCUACGGACUGGCAUCGAUCGUGCUGUGCACUGAUUCGAGAGCAAAUCAAAGAAGGAGGACGUUCAGAAGGGACAUCUCGGGGACUCCUGCUGCGCUUGGCGAUGACGUAGUCGGGUGAUUAGUCUGAGAUAAAGGCUAUGGCUAUAGACUAAUAAGGCCUGUGGCUGCAGGCAGCCAAAAUGACAGUGAUGAUAAGCGUUGAGAAGUUUCUGAGUUAAUAGUCACUACCAUGUGCUGGGGAUGGAAUCCAGAGACUCACACACACUGGACAAGUGCUUUGCCACUAAACUACACCCUCCAGCCUGGCACAGGAGUUCUGCUGCAAAGGUGGUGGUGGCACACGCUUUUUAAUCCCAGCACUCGGGAGGCAGAGGCUGGAGGAUCUCUGUGAAUUUGAGGCCAGCCUGGCUACAGAGUGAGUUCCAGAACAGGCUCCAAAGCUACCGAGAAACCCUGUCUCGAAAAGCAAAACAAACAAACAAAUACAUACAUAAGAAUCAUUUCUUGGGGCUGGAGAGAUGGCUCAGAGGUUAAGAGCACUGAUUGUUCUUCCAGAGGUCCUGAGUUUAAUUCCCAGCAACCACAUGGUGGCUCACAACCAUCUGUAAUGAGAUCUGGUGCCUUCUUCUGGCCUGCAGGCACACAUGCAGACAGAACACUG